rnacentral:rRNA from 2 species
AGCCGGCCUGAGAGGGCGACCGGCCACACUGGGACUGAGACACGGCCCAGACUCCUACGGGAGGCAGCAGUGGGGAAUAUUGCACAAUGGGCGAAAGCCUGAUGCAGCGACGCCGCGUGAGGGAUGACGGCCUUCGGGUUGUAAACCUCUUUCAGCAGGGAAGAAGCGAAAGUGACGGUACCUGCAGAAGAAGCGCCGGCUAACUACGUGCCAGCAGCCGCGGUAAUACGUAGGGCGCAAGCGUUGUCCGGAAUUAUUGGGCGUAAAGAGCUCGUAGGCGGCUUGUCACGUCGGUUGUGAAAGCCCGGGGCUUAACCCCGGGUCUGCAGUCGAUACGGGCAGGCUAGAGUUCGGUAGGGGAGAUCGGAAUUCCUGGUGUAGCGGUGAAAUGCGCAGAUAUCAGGAGGAACACCGGUGGCGAAGGCGGAUCUCUGGGCCGAUACUGACGCUGAGGAGCGAAAGCGUGGGGAGCGAACAGGAUUAGAUACCCUGGUAGUCCACGCCGUAAACGGUGGGCACUAGGUGUGGGCAACAUUCCACGUUGUCCGUGCCGCAGCUAACGCAUUAAGG